AGCGAACGCUGGCGGCAGGCUUAACACAUGCAAGUCGAGCGGGCGUAGCAAUACGUCAGCGGCAGACGGGUGAGUAACGCGUGGGAACGUACCUUUUGGUUCGGAACAACCCAGGGAAACUUGGACUAAUACCGGAUAAGCCCUAACGGGGAAAGAUUUAUCGCCGAAAGAUCGGCCCGCGUCUGAUUAGCUAGUUGGUGAGGUAACGGCCCAACAAGGCGACGAUCAGUAGCUGGUCUGAGGGGAUUAUCAGCCACAUUGGGACUGGGACACGGGCCAAACUCCUACGGGAGGCAGGAGUGGGGAAUAUUGGACAAAGGGGGCAAGGCUGAUCCAGCCAUGCCGGGGGAGGGAAGAAGGCCCUAGGGUUGUAAAGAUCUUUUGUGCGGGAAGAUAAUGACGGUACCGCAAGAAUAAGCCCCGGCUAACUUCGUGCCAGCAGCCGCCGUAACAC
rnacentral:rRNA from 1 species